CGGGUACUCACGGCUGAGUCAAAGUCCUUCCUUGGCAGGAUGCGGCAGGGUUGCUGUAAUGUUCGUCGCCUGCGGCGUCGGAUUUUCUGCCUCCGUGGGUGAUGCGUAGGGGGAAUAACCCUGGUGGCCCUCGGCCCAGGUGGGCUUAGCGCUGCAUUCUCGGCCUUGUGUUUCUGCCAGGCUUCGGCCCUCCAGUUGCGCCCAGAAACGGG